GAAAACAGUGCAAGAUGAGGAAAAGAAGCUCCAUCGUCUUUAAAUGGUUGACCUCCAUGAUGUGCAAAGCUGGUCUAACCUAUCUCAGUACUAUGGAUUGACACCAGAAGGAACUUCAAGGUUUUUUCAAUAUUCUUAUGGAUAAUUUAAGAGUAUCUCCCUUCUCAUGACAGCAUAUUGAAGAAGAGAUGAGGAAACAAGCUGAGAGAAGCUGCAAGUCUUGCCCAAGCUCACAGAGCUAUGAGCUGUUAUGACUUUGGAGAGUGUGUUUUCCUCUGUCUGGCCACAGGCAGCAGUGGUUUUGUUGGAAGAAUGGGGAGACAUGUCAAUUUUCUUGAAGUUGAUGCCAUUUAAACUGGGUUUUGAAGUAUGAAUAAGAGUUCAAAGAAGAUUCUCUGCGCAGAAGAAGCAUCCCCUGCAAAGCACGUAUGAUUUGCUCUGUAUUUCCCCCACCUCUUCCUAUGUCCACCACAUUGGGUUUUAUUCAACAUGAGGGGCCAAACAGUGGUGUCCACUGGGGAGGUUGCAUAUGGGAGACUUGAUAAAGAACAAUUGGGGAAGUUUUCAUAUGCCCGUGGGAUAUUUCCUAUGAGAGGAUUCUGGUACAAAUAAUAAUUUUUUUCUUGUGGAGAUCAUGAUGGUCCGAUUAUAUUUAUAUUCUUUUGAUUUUUAAACCAUGAUACAAUUUCUAAGGGUUUCAUAAAUUGGUUUUUGCUUUUAUGAAACAAUUUGGAAAAAUUGGGGUUUGCAGCCCAUGUCUGUUAACUAGUGGUUGAGCUGGCCACUCUCUUUGUGCAUAAGUAGUCCCACCCUGAAUGAAUGGGAAUGGAUGGGGAUGGGUGGGGAAAGGCAGUUUGUUAACUAGGAUUCUGAUGACAGCAGUGGAGACUAGCAAAGUAGCUUCCCUUUAUGUCCCUCCAAUGGUGGAAAAAUUUGAAUGUAAAUGUGAAAUAAAAAUAGUUAAUAACUGAAAGUAAAGGAUGAAAGGGUGAAUUAUACAGUGAGAUAUGUAAUAUUAUGUUGACACUUUGAGUCUCAAAGCGAAUUAUGCUGUUGUAUCUUACUUGGGUCCCAGCUGUUGCCUGGAAGAGUGAAGCCACAUAUGGCUGAGACCACUUCUGCCUUUAAAACCCAGGAUCCAAUGAAAGCUUGCAAACCUGAGUGGUCUUGCCCUGGGAGACAUUUUGUACAUCUGAUAUGAUAAUGAACUGGACUGAUCAUUAAUGACACAGCAGGGAGCUAUUAAUCUGCGAGUGUCUUUUUUUUUGGUGAAAAUGUAAAGCAGUUCUGCAUAUUUGUUUUAUUUUCCCCAUAUUUUAUUGGUACAUUAUAGUUGUACAUAAUGAUGGGAUUUGUUGUUACAUAUUCAUAGCAGCACACAAUGUAGCAAUAUAAUUUGACAACAGUUCAUUACUUUUCAUGACUGUGUUGUAUUCCCAAAUAAUUCCUCCCUCCCUCCCCACAGUCCAGCCCUUGGUGUCCCUUCUGGCAUCCCUGGGAUUUUUAUGAGAUUAUUCACACGCCACAAUUCUUUUCCUUUUUUUUCCCUCAAGCUUCUGCAUUUGACAUAAAACAUAUGACCCUU